rnacentral:rRNA from 1 species
AACGAACGCUGGCGGCAGGCCUAAAACAUGCAAGUCGAGCGGGCAUAGCAAUAUGUCAGCGGCGGACGGGUGAAUAACACGUGGGAACAUGCCCUUUGGUACGGAACAACUCAGGGAAACUUGAGCUAAUACCGUAUGUGCCGGUAACGGGAAAGAUUUAUCGCCAAAGGAUUGGCCCGCGUCCGAUUAGCUAGUUGGUGAGGUAACGGCUCACCAAGGCGACGAUCGGUAGCUGGUUUGAGAGAACGAUCAGCCACACUGGGACUGAGACACGGCCCAGACUCCUACGGGAGGCAGCAGUUGGGAAUCUUGGACAAUGGGGGAAACCCGUA